UUUCUAUUUGCGUAAUCACUUUUUACUGCAUAUCUGUGCCUGUCUCUCUGGACGGGGGUGCUGGCUGUGGGGUUUGCGCUGGCACACCCUGAGUUGAUAAAAGAGACAACCAGUCUAGGCAGCCUGCAGUAUUUUCUACUGCAUUUCACAGGUCUCCAGAAACACUGAGCAUUUUUGUUUUCCCUAAGAAACAGAAUGUUGGCAGCUUUAUUUUUCUCAAGGGUGUAGCACUGAAUGUUAUUUAUUGUUCUGACUCUGAAUUUCAUGCUGUCUUUUUUUCUGUUUCCUGCUGACAGGUGAUUUGCUCUUGAACAAUUAACAGAGUGAAGGCUGUGUUCCAUCUCCUCACAGGCUCCCGCCGGGCACCCUUGGGAGCGCAGGAGGAGAAAGGCUUUCUUCUUGAUCCUAUUACUGCUGCCCAGCGUCAAGAAGGAUUAAUUAACCCACCAGGUUUUGCUUCAUUACGAGGAAAAAAGAAAAGCCAGUGACAGUGGAAUUCAAACAUUGAACAGGGCAACUGGAGCCCAGAUGUGAUACCCGGAGCUGGUGCUCAUCGUCGGCGCCCUGGGGCUGUUGGUCAACGUGGUGGGGCUGCUCAUCUUCCAGGACUACGCCGCCUGGUUCUCGUGUUGCAGACGGGACCUCGGUCACCGCCUUCAGCAGCGUUAGCAGCUGGCAGAGGACUGCGCUCCCGGUGCUUCCCGGGGACCCCAGGGCCCAGAGGACCUGCGGCUCGCAUCGGCCCCAACAGCCCCCGGCUUGGACUCGGCCGUAACCCUUCGGGGGACCUCGGUGAAAAGAAAGCAGGAGAAGGGGGCGACCGUGUUCUCAAACAUAGCAGGUGCCUUUCGGUUGCAUCCUCUGGACCGCUUGGCCCUUCCUUCCUCCUCCCACCCCGUCCCUUUCCCUUUCUUCUCACCCCACGCCCUCUUUUUCUUCUGCAUGCUUUUUUUUGUUUUGUUUUUUAAUUAUUCUUUAUCCCUUCUUUUUUCUCCUGGAUCCUCGGGUAGCCCUAGUCUCUUUUCCCUUCCCCUAUUCUCUCUAUAAAAGUGUUGAUUUUCUUCGAAAUCAGUCAUUAUUGGGCAACAGGCAGACCUCUCCAACCCCUCCUCCCUCUCGUUAGUUGCUAUCUGAAUUUUGUUGUUCUCCCUUUCUCUUUGCCCAUCUGUUUGUCCUCUUGGGUAUUAGAGGUUUGGGGGCUGCAGGUGGGCUCCCAUUUGCCCUCUUUUUGUUUUAACUUGAAAGGAUGUGUGAAUGAAGUCCAAAGGUGUAUCUCAAGGCUGUUUCAAGGCCAAAUGUACUGUUCUGAGCUGUGUGUGCAGAGGAAGGGUCUCCCUUAAGCUAGUAGGAGUUUGAAAUAACAAAACUUUGAGUCCAUUGGUUUUUUUUUUGUUUGUGGAACUUAUACACAACACAAGGAUUCUUCUUUGAAUGCAGGUGAUUCCUUCAACACCCAGAAUGAGCCAGAAGAGAUGAUGAAAAAAGAGAAAAAGUCUGAAGCUCUGAAUAUCAGAGGUAGGAUUGACUUUGGGCCUAUUUGAAAUCGCUUUCUAUGACACAUAUGAACUGUGCUGUAAAUUUCUCUUUGACUUUUAAUAAGGCAAAGUUGUGUUUGAAAGUAGGCCAGUUACAUGCAUAGACUAUGACCUGACUCUCUUUUGCAAUCACUGCAUUGAUCCUGGGGAGAAGCUGGUUGCUAAUGAUGUAUCUCAGCUCCACUUAGACCCGUGCUAAUACUGCCUGUUCCAGAACUGCACAUGUCAACGUUAUGUUACUACUUUACUUGGUUUCACUAGUCCAUAGAUACUGCUAACAAAUAGUGAAGCCUAUUUUAAUUGAAUGUGCUUUUGAUAAAGGUAGGAAAACAGUAGGUGAGCUGCUAUCCAAGGUUGUGCCCUAUCUGGCAUUGCCGAAUGACCCUGUGGCAUCAGUUAUUUCUGCCAGAAAUCUGCCUUUGUGAAGGCACAG
rnacentral:lncRNA from 13 species